AUUGAACGCUGGCGGCAGGCUUAACACAUGCAAGUCGAGCGGAGAGAGGUAGCUUGCUACUGAUCUUAGCGGCGGACGGGUGAGUAAUGCUUAGGAAUCUGCCUAUUAGUGGGGGACAACAUUUCGAAAGGAAUGCUAAUACCGCAUACGUCCUACGGGAGAAAGCAGGGGAUCUUCGGACCUUGCGCUAAUAGAUGAGCCUAAGUCGGAUUAGCUAGUUGGUGGGGUAAAGGCCUACCAAGGCGACGAUCUGUAGCGGGUCUGAGAGGAUGAUCCGCCACACUGGGACUGAGACACGGCCCAGACUCCUACAGGAGGCAGCAGUGGGGAAUAUUGGACAAUGGGCGCAAGCCUGAUCCAGCCAUGCCGCGUGUGUGAAGAAGGCCUUAUGGUUGUAAAGCACUUUAAGCGAGGAGGAGGCUACUUUAGUUAAUACCUAGAGAUAGUGGACGUUACUCGCAGAAUAAGCACCGGCUAACUCUGUGCCAGCAGCCGCAGUAAUAC
rnacentral:rRNA from 1 species